rnacentral:rRNA from 1 species
GGCGAACGGUUGAUUAACCCGUGGGUAACCUGCCCAUAAGACUGGGAUAACUCCGGGAAACCGGGGCUAAUACCGGAUAACAUUUUGAACCGCAUGGUUCGAAAUUGAAAGGCGGCUUCGGCUGUCACUUAUGGAUGGACCCGCGUCGCAUUAGCUAGUUGGUGAGGUAACGGCUCACCAAGGCAACGAUGCGUACCCGACCUGAGAGGGUGAUCGGCCACACUGGGACUGAGACACGGCCCACACUCCUACGGGAGGCAGCAGUAGGGAAUCUUCCGCAAUGGACGAAAGUCUGACGGAGCAACGCCGCGUGAGUGAUGAAGGCUUUCGGGUCGUAAAACUCUGUUGUUAGGGAAGAACAAGUGCUAGUUGAAUAAGCUGGCACCUUGACGGUACCUAACCAGAAAGCCACGGCUAACUACGUGCCAGCAGCCGCGGUAAUACGUAGGUGGCAAGCGUUAUCCGGAAUUAUUGGGCGUACAGCGCGCGCAGGUGGUUUCUUAAGUCUGAUGUGAAAGCCCACGGCUCACCCGUGGAGGGUCAUUGGAAACUGGGAGACUUGAGUGCAGAAGAGGAAAGUGGAAUUCCUUGUGUAGCGGUGAAUGCGUAUAGAUAUGGAGGAACACCAUUGGCGAAAGCUUACUUUCUGGUCUGUAACUGACACUGAGGCGCGAAAGCGUGGGGAGCAAACAGGAUUAGAUACCCUGCCAGCCCACGCCCA